rnacentral:rRNA from 1 species
UACGGAGGGGGCUAGCGUUGUUCGGAGUUACUGGGCGUAAAGCGCGCGUAGGCGGCUUUGUAAGUUAGAGGUGAAAGCCCGGAGCUCAACUCCGGAACUGCCUUUAAAACUGCAUCGCUUGAAUCAUGGAGAGGUGAGUGGAAUUCCGAGUGUAGAGGUGAAAUUCGUAGAUAUUCGGAAGAACACCAGUGGCGAAGGCGACUCACUGGACAUGUAUUGACGCUGAGGUGCGAAAGCGUGGGGAGCAAACAGG